rnacentral:rRNA from 1 species
CAUGCUAGUCGCACGAGUUCAGACUCGUGGCGAAUAGCUCAGUAACACGUGGCCAAACUACCCUUCGGAACACAAUACCCUCGGGAAACUGAGGCUAAUAGCUGUAUACCCAUACCCACCACUGGAAUGAGUGGUAUGCCAAACGCUCCGGCGCCGAAGGAUGUGGCUGCGGCCGAUUAGGUAGACGGUGGGGUAACGGCCCACCGUGCCAAUAAUCGGUAUGGGUCAUGAGAGUGAGAACCCAGAGACGGAAUCUGAGACAAGAUUCCGGGCCCUACGGGGCGCAGCAGGCGCGAAACCUUUACACUGCACGACAGUGCGAUAGGGGGAUCCCAAGUGCACAGGCAUAGCGCCUGUGCUUUUCGGUACCGUAAGGUGGUACCAGAAUAAGGGCUGGGCAAGACCGGUGCCAGCCGCCGCGGUAAUACCGGCAGCCCAAGUGAUGGCCGAUCUUAUUGGGCCUAAAGCGUCCGUAGCUGGCCGCGCAAGUCCAUCGGGAAAUCCACCUGCUCAACAGGUGGGCGCCCGGUAGAAACUGCGUGGCUUGGGACCGGAAGGCGCGACGGGUACGUCCGGGGUAGGAGUGAAAUCCCGUAAUCCUGGACGGACCGCCGAUGGCGAAAGCACGUCGCGAGGACGGAUCCGACAGUGAGGGACGAAAGCCAGGGUCUCGAACCGGAUUAGAUACCCGGGUAGUCCUGGCCGUAAACAAUGUCUGCUAGGUGUGGCUCCCACUACGAGUGGGUGCUGUGCCGUAGGGAAGCCGCUAAGCAGACCGCCUGGGAAGUUACGUCCGCAAGGAUGAAACUUAAAGGAAUUGGC